ACUGUUGAGGGGAACUCUAGGAGC
rnacentral:miRNA from 1 species